GGCGCUAUAGUGUAGUGGUUAUCACUCAGGAUUCUGAUCAUUUCCAUAUUUGGCACAAACAUCACCUCAUUUCCUGAAACCCAGGUUCGAGCCCUGGUAGCGCCU